rnacentral:tRNA from 1 species
UUAGCUAAGUUGUUGAUGUUGCUUGUGAAGUCUGUGGACUCUUAAUCCGUAGGUCGAGUGUUCGAGUCACUCAGGGCCCACCA